GGGCAGUUCAGGCUUUGCAGAGACUGUGCUGAAGGUGCAUCUAGCUGAUAAGAAAGUUCAGUGGUCUUACAGGUUAAGAGCCUUCUGUGGAAAUAGUGCCAAAUAACAGAUACAUGCACCUAAAGGUGGUGGAAGAAAUUCUGGAAAGAAGAAAACAGUCACUGGAACCCAGCUAGAAUCAACUAAGAGAAGCGAUGUGAAUAAUACACAUUGACAGGUAAGGCAAAAAAAAUAACUCUACAGUUUUUGACUUUGGAUAUAUAAGCAACACCUACACAUUCACUCUUAACAUGAAUGUACAUUUCUUUGGCUGACUCUCUCUCACCUCAUGAUUUGAUCCUACUCUCCACAUCCUGAGACCUGAUGAGGACAAGAGGAGGUGGCCACUUGUAGAUACUCAACAGUUUUGAUUCACUUGUUUUGUUUUUAUCUUUACCAAUUGUUUAGCAAACGGG
rnacentral:lncRNA from 1 species